rnacentral:rRNA from 1 species
AACGAACGCUGGCGGCAGGCUUAACACAUGCAAGUCGAGCGCCCCGCAAGGGGAGCGGCAGACGGGUGAGUAACGCGUGGGAACGUACCUUUUGGUUCGGAACAACUCCGGGAAACUGGAGCUAAUACCGGAUAAGCCCUAACGGGGAAAGAUUUAUCGCCGAAAGAUCGGCCCGCGUCUGAUUAGCUGGUUGGUGAGGUAACGGCGCCCCAAGGCGACGAUCAGUAGCUGGUCUGAGAGGAUGAUCAGCCACACUGGGACUGAGACACGGCCCAGACUCCUACGGGAGGCAGCAGUGGGGAAUAUUGGACAAUGGGCGCAAGCCUGAUCCAGCCAUGCCGCGUGAGUGAUGAAGGCCUUAGGGUUGUAAAGCUCUUUUGUCCGGGAAGAUAAUGACUGUACCGGAAGAAUAAGCCCCGGCUAACUUCGUG